rnacentral:lncRNA from 1 species
GUCCUGGUCAGGUUUUGGUUUCAAGACUUUUCUGGCCUCAUAAGCAAACAGUUUUUUUUUUCUGUUUUCCCAUUCUGUGAGUCAGUUUAUGAAAGAUCAGAAUUAUGUGCCUCAUAAAUAUGUUAGAACUCUGGGAUAUAGCUUUCUUUGCUUCUCAGCUACUGAUGGAGAUUCUGUUAUGGUUGUAAGAAGACGCAGGUUUGAGUGUUCUUCCUGUUGGUCUGUCUGGAGCUGGAUGUGCCCGUCUGUCCCCCGAGGUGCUGGCCUGCGGUCUGUCCUCCUGCUCCCCGCUUCUCGUGUCACCUGACAUGCCCCUGGCCAUCAGGGUUUCCCAGGAGCAGCCUGGUGCAGCCUGGGUCUGAUUUCUGCCCAGGUCCGCUGCUUCCCUAUAACGUCAGCACCCAUGUGUGAGGCUCUGGUUGCCCCACUGGGUGCCGAGUGUUAUCGG